rnacentral:rRNA from 1 species
GUUGAAAAAUUAGCGGAUGACUUGUGGCUGGGGGUGAAAGGCCAAUCAAACCGGGAGAUAGCUGGUUCUCCCCGAAAGCUAUUUAGGUAGCGCCUCGUGAAUUCAUCUCCGGGGGUAGAGCACUGUUUCGGCAAGGGGGUCAUCCCGACUUACCAACCCGAUGCAAACUGCGAAUACCGGAGAAUGUUAUCACGGGAGACACACGGCGGGUGCUAACGUCCGUCGUGAAGAGGGAAACAACCCAGACCGCCAGCUAAGGUCCCAAAGUCAUGGUUAAGUGGGAAACGAUGUGGGAAGGCCCAGACAGCCAGGAUGUUGGCUUAGAAGCAGCCAUCAUUUAAAGAAAGCGUAAUAGCUCACUGGUCGAGUCGGCCUGCGCGGAAGAUGUAACGGGGCUAAACCAUGCACCGAAGCUGCGGCAGCGACGCUUAUGCGUUGUUGGGUAGGGGAGCGUUCUGUAAGCCUGUGAAGGUGUGCUGUGAGGCAUGCUGGAGGUAUCAGAAGUGCGAAUGCUGACAUAAGUAACGAUAAAGCGGGUGAAAAGCCCGCUCGCCGGAAGACCAAGGGUUCCUGUCCAACGUUAAUCGGGGCAGGGUGAGUCGACCCCUAAGGCGAGGCCGAAAGGCGUAGUCGAUGGGAAACAGGUUAAUAUUCCUGUACUUGGUGUUACUGCGAAGGGGGGACGGAGAAGGCUAUGUUGGCCGGGCGACGGUUGUCCCGGUUUAAGCGUGUAGGCUGGUUUUCCAGGCAAAUCCGGAAAAUCAAGGCUGAGGCGUGAUGACGAGGCACUACGGUGCUGAAGCAACAAAUGCCCUGCUUCCAGGAAAAGCCUCUAAGCAUCAGGUAACAUCAAAUCGUACCCCAAACCGACACAGGUGGUCAGGUAGAGAAUACCAAGGCGCUUGAGAGAACUCGGGUGAAGGAACUAGGCAAAAUGGUGCCGUAACUUCGGGAGAAGGCACGCUGAUAUGUAGGUGAAGCGACUUGCUCGUGGAGCUGAAAUCAGUCGAAGAUACCAGCUGGCUGCAACUGUUUAUUAAAAACACAGCACUGUGCAAACACGAAAGUGGACGUAUACGGUGUGACGCCUGCCCGGUGCCGGAAGGUUAAUUGAUGGGGUCAGCGCAAGCGAAGCUCUUGAUCGAAGCCCCGGUAAACGGCGGCCGUAACUAUAACGGUCCUAAGGUAGCGAAAUUCCUUGUCGGGUAAGUUCCGACCUG